rnacentral:rRNA from 1 species
CCGCCAGAGAACUACAAGUGAAAAACUUGAAACUCAAAGGACUUGACGGUGUCCCAUAUCGGCCUAGAGGAGCCUGUCCUAUAAUCGAUACCCCCCGUUCCACCCAACCCCAACUAGCAAAAUAUCAGCCUAUAUACCGCCGUCGACAGUCUACCCCAUGAGGGCUCAAUAGUAGACACAAUAGCCUUAACGCUAAUACGUCAGGUCAAGGUGUAGCAAAUGUUGAGGAAAAGAUUGGCUACAUUUUUUAUGAUAAAAAACACGAAUUGCACUAUGAAACACUGCAUGAAGGUGAAUUUAGUAGUAAAACAGACAAGAGUGUCUGUUUUAACAACGCUCUGG